AAAUAUGAAGCACUGUUCAUCUUCUUCGUGAGGACCUUGCCGGUGACCGCUGCUGCCCACCGCGCCCGCACCGCCUCGCACCGGCCACCGUGCCUUCGCCACCGCAGCUCCGCUCCUGCAGCCAGCCCCAUCGCCUGCAGCUGCCUGAAACCCUCCAUCACCCGCGACCUGCAGCACCGGACGCCAGACCCCCCGACGCUCAGCCUCCGCCGCGCCUCAGUCGACCUCCGACGCCGCGAUCGAGCGCUGCUCCCGUCUGCAGCUCCACAGCCGCGCCGCCGUCGCUCCGCUGCAGCCACCAGCCUCACCAUCGCCGCUCGCUGGUCGCUGCAACUG
rnacentral:lncRNA from 1 species